UUAUUCUUGCAUUCACGCUAUCGUAGUCUUUAUAACAUUUUGUAUGGAUUCUUCUUCUGUGCGAUUGUUUAUUCUUUUGUGACCGCUUCUGUGAAAUUUUUUUUCUGUAGUUCGGACGCCCACUAUAUGGGAACGUUUUUAGUAUCCAACAACAAGAACAACCAAUUAUGAGAGGAACUUGUUGAUAACAGUAAGCAUUGGGAUGACUUGGAGGAAGAGGAGGAACAAAUGGAAGAAGAGGAAUUGGAGGCCGGUAUUCAAUCAGUUGCCAGCAUCUCUCUCUCUCACUCUCUCUCUCUCUAUAAGAGGAAGCGCAAGAUGUAGGAAAAAGGAAGGGAAGGCAAAGAAGAAGGAUUUCAAGUUUUAGGCACAAAGCUAUACAUCAAAUUUGCAUAGCAUGAAUGCUCCCCCUCCCCCAUUGGAUAUAUUCUGUUUGGUUAAUAUAUUGUGAACUGUGAAAUUUGAAGGAUCUGACACAUUGAAAGUUCUUAUUGACAUGUAAAAUGUGAAGUGCUUUUGUCGCCUUAAUGAAUGGACAGGGCAACUAGUUGUACUAUUGAGGUAGGAGUGAUGUUUAAAGGGAAUUUGAUUAGUGAAUCCAUUUUGAGUUCAUCGAUGAACUUAACUGGGCC